UACGUAGGGAGCAAGCGUUGUCCGGAAUCAUUGGGCGUAAAGAGCGCGUAGGCGGUCCGGUAAGUCGGUUGUGGAAACUGGGGGCUCAACCCUCAGACGCCGACCGAUACUGUCGGGCUAGAGUCCGGAAGAGGCGAGUGGAAUUCCUGGUGUAGCGGUGAAAUGCGCAGAUAUCAGGAGGAACACCAAUGGCGAAGGCAGCUCGCUGGGACGGUACUGACGCUGAGACGCGAAAGCGUGGGGGAGCAAACAGG
rnacentral:rRNA from 1 species